rnacentral:rRNA from 1 species
GUUAGUUGCCAUCAUUCAGUUUGGGCACUCUAGCGAGACUGCCGGUAAUAAACCGGAGGAAGGUGGGGAGUGACGUCAAAUCAUCAUGCCCCUUAUGACCUGGGCUACACACGUGCUACAAUGGUUGGUACAACGAGUUGCGAGUCGGUGACGGCGAGCUAAUCUCUUAAAAGACCAAUCUCAGUUCGGAUUGUAGGCUGCAACUCGCCUACAUGAAGUCGGAAUCGCUAGUAAUCGCGGAUCAGCACGCCGCGGUGAAUACGUUCCCGGGCCUU